AAUAGAAACUGCGGAGCCACUUUUAACAAACUGUUCACUGAAAUGAACUAAAAAUAGUCCAGAUUGAACUUGUACAGACUCACCAUGGAUUUUGCACGCUGUCAAGUCCAUAGUUCUGGUAAUUGUGUGUAAUAUUUGGACAUUUUUUGACUGACUGGGACAAAUGCAGCUCAAGACAGCCUCAGGGAAGUCCGGCUGGUGCCAUGUGACUCCUCCGCUGAACCCGAGCCCCGUACGGUAUGUCAGCCGUCAUGUGGAGCCCGCACACCGGUAAGUGACACCGCCUGAGCCCGGUGACGUCCAACGGAGCAGCUCCACGUCGACUUUCCCGGCUCCUGGGGUAUUUCCCGCGUCUUAAAGUCAGACACGAGGGUUAAGGUUUGGAUUAGACUCUCGUUGGUGGGACUAGCGGCCAUAGUGACGGCUGCGAGCGUCUACCUGUACCUGCUGUCCACGCACCUUCCCCGGGGAGUGAGGGCGGGCGGGCCCGGGACAGAGCUGGAGGACGAGGAGCACGAGUACAGUUAUGAAGAGUGCGUCGGCCCUGGUGUGACCGAGAUCUACAUCCCCACAGAUGACCCUCCUCCUUACUCCCUAUUGGACCCAUGCCAAGAAGAGGCGGGGCAUGGGGAGGAGCCUAACCACACCCACCACAGCACCAGCACAGACAGCUCAGCCAGCACUUCCUGGUUCUCCCCCACCCCCCACUGCCUCUGGGGACAGCACAUCACCUCCCUUUCCUACCCCAUGGAGGAGGCCCCGCCCUACGAGUCCGUGCUGAUGGACUCGGGUCAGCCCCUCCCUCUUAUGCCAUGUGACCUUUACAAACACCAAUCAGAGGCCAGAGGGGAGGGCAGGGACGCACAGCUAGCAGAGACAAGUCAAAUCCUGUAGUGACUUUGCUACAUGGACGAUACGUGAAGGAGGACUGGGAUAUAGCCAGCACUGCAGUUUCUGAAGCGUUCUGAAAUUAUUCUUAUUCUAGUCUGUUUUUACAGCCUCAACUUUGACUGUUCUUUUGUAUCCUGUCAUGAACUACUGCUACAAUAAGUCUUUGUCAUAUUGUACAAGAUAGCUUUCUAGAAGUACGAAAAUUAGGAUUAAAGGUCACAUAUUAUGCUAAUUCACCUUAUGUGAGCGAGUGGAAUAAUGUUUUUUCUCCAUCAAUCAUAUACCUGCAUGUUUGGGUAAUCCUGCAAAAUCAGUGUCUCUCAAAAUGCCCUGGUUCACCUGGUGAUGUCAUUGGGUGGCUAACCAAGAAGUGAUACAUGUUUUAGCUCCGAAACCCCUUCGCAAAAUCAAAGACUUCAUACACCUUCAGUGCCCAAAUUUGCCUUUACUCUUAUUUACACAGCUUAUUUCGGCCAGUAUUGCACCAACUACUGGAAAACGGUCAUUUUGUAUUCACAGAAAUAAUGACUGAAUUACUUUUACCAAUUUUUCAUUCCAUAUUGGUCAAACAUCAAUGCUAAUUUGCUUAAGAAUAGCUAAAUCAACAUUAAAAGGUGACCUUUAAAGACGAUAUGUUUUUCUAUGUAUUUAGAACUAAACCUGCAACUUAAUCAGACAUUUUAUGACCUAAAAUCUGUACGAGGCUGUGGGCGGGGAUAGGUGGCAGGAGAAAACAGAAUUUCACACUUCAAAUACACAAUACAGGAUUACUCAAAUAUGCAUGAAUCUCACAAUACAACUCCGAGUGAUCAACAUUAUAACUUACAAACUCACAAUAGUUGAUUUUACAUAAUAUGUCUCCUCUAAAGUUAAGCUAACAAGCACAGUGUUCUUCCCUGUGUCACUGCCCAUAGAACAUGACCCACAUGUUGGAGCCAUACUCCAUGUUUGAAUCCUCCUGUUCUGAAAACGUUUAGCGGGUUGCCUUGUUUGUGUGAUCUUGCGGUCCUUAGUGCGGCGGUCUUAGGAGUAGUAAAGCAUAGAAUGAGACCGUUGUGACAUUGUAAACGUGGUCCAGUUACUAGUAAGAGGUUGGCUUUUCGGCGUUUUUAAAAAAUGAUGUAAUGUACAGUUUGGUAUAGCACAGUAGCGUGGUCUACGGAACAUUUUUGUUAAUUAAACCAAUGUACCCACAUGUAGAGAUAUACUGUCACUUUCUCUCCAAUCGGGCUUUGUUAAUUAAGUUGGAGCUUAAAGGUGCACUAUGUAACUUUUCAAGUGGAUGGUAUGCCACCUAUUUGUCCCUGUGGAGAUGUUAUUGCUUUGGAUGUUACACAGUAUGAGAUUUAAUAUAUCUACUGACUGUAAAGCGCUUUGAGAGGCUUGAAGGUGGAAAAACACUAUAUCAAAAUGUGACCGUGUAGUUAUUGGUCAAAAACACACACGAACAACAUCAUUCUUACUGUGAGUGGGGUCGCCUCUCCGCAGAUCUUACCUGUAACUUGACAUUUUGCCUCACCUGCUUGCUUGUUUAUAUAACAAUAGAUAUGUUUAAUGCUAUACUAUGAAAAAAUCCAAGCAAAAGCAACAACAACUCCAUGGAGACUAUAGUAACUUUUGUAUAAUAUUCUGAGUUCAAAAUUACAAUCAGAACUUCCGAUCUAUAGUUAAACCAAAACGUGUCAUUGAAUGUAUUCCACAAACGACAACAACAGGUGGCGGUAGCUCCUAAACUCUGCGCGGAAGCUAAUAUAUCGAAAAGAUGUACAUGGAGAACACGACUGAAAAAUGGAUUCUAGUGUUUAACGCAGGACACAGCACACUCACAACUUCAAACUGUCCUACCACCCCAGAUGGCUUCAAAAGUGACGUGCAGUUUGUGGAGGUGAGAAGGAAAAAUGAAAGAUAGAAACAUUUGGGACCAGUCUGAGUCGUUUGCAAAAGUCAGCCAUCACAAAUGAAUUAUAAUCUUCAUAAAUGCUUUUAAUUUCCCCAGCAGCGUCAUGUAGCAGACAACCUCUUGACAUCCGAAGAGUCGAAUGCAACAACGAAGAAGUACUGUACAAAACAUAUGGAUGCUUUGUUUAGAAGAAUCAAUAGACCCAUCCAGUGUUUCUGUUCUAAAGAUGGUACGUUUUUAUUUGAGGAGUUAGCAUUAGCCACCAAACAUCACAGACGAUAAACACUCAAGACCAUUUUGAGUUGUUUUUUGGUUUUUUUAUUCAUUUUUUUUUUUGCAUAUUGAUUAAUGUUGAAAAUUGGCAUAGCAUAAAACUACACUGUCAGCUAGACCAAAUACUACGUAACUUUUCUGGGGCACAGUCUACCACCUGGUUGUUUCCAUGGAGAUGAUAUUGCGUUGCCUGGAAAGCUCCACAGUAUGGCAUUUAAUUGAUUUAUCCAGCUGUGUUAAUUAGCAAAUUCCUUGAAAAACAUACAUUAUUACUGUUACCAGGCUCGCCUCUCCAUAGAUCUAACUGUCACCUAUUGUGUUCAUGGUGAUAUAAAGUUAAUUCCAUAAUGUGGACACUUCAAAUCAAAGCUAUGGCGUCUCCAAGCAGGUGACGGACCCUCUGCACCAGAAAAGUCCCAGAGUGCAUCUUUAACUUUGGGAAAUGAAAUUAGCAGAUUGAUCUUAAAGAUACGUGCAUAAGCUUUUCUUUCUGUUUCCAAACAUCAAAAAUAUGUUUUAUUUUCUUGUAUUGCUAAAAUGAAUGAGAUAGAAAGUUGUUAGCAAACUGUGUGCGCCACUCAUCUAAACAAUAGACUGUGUAAAGAAGUGGACUAAGUGAGUGUGACGUCACCACAGCGUUCAGCUCCAGUCAAAUGAAGCUCAUCGAGGCUAGAGCAGUUAUAGGGAAUAGUGAAUUUGGAGCAGAGUCACAUAUUUGGAAUUCUGACCGUGAGUAUCAUAGCAGCCAAAGAGCCAAUCCAAAGCGAGGCUGUUGAAGGUAACAUCCCUUCCCACCCGCACUGCUGGUUUAGCAAGGAACAGGCACUUAGCAACGCUGUCAAUCAAACCUGUUGCUAACACUAGCUCCUCGGGGAAAGAAUGCGCCUGAUGCGUCUGUUUUUAAUGUCCAUUUCUUGGGUUACGGACACAAUAGCGAAAUAAAAACACCAGGAUGUAGAUGUAGUUGAUACGAACAUUUCAAGACUAAAAUGACGAGUGUGACAGCAGCAGUUACAAAAAGAGGGGUGACAAUUUUUCAGUGUAGAGUGAAUUGGAGCCAGAGUUGAUGGAGCCUGAAGUGCACUCAUGCUCACUUCCUGUUUGGAACAACUAGCACGUUACGUAUGUCCAUUUAUAUACACAGUCUAUGAUCUAAACACAUGGCCUUGAAGUCUAUCGCACCAAAACACACCAAAAUAUCGUUCCAACUUGCACCACGGAUGUACAAUGUGUACACUUGUGUAUUCUAUGUAACAUCUUGUACAAAAACCACACCACACUGUCACAUUCUUAAGUGAUACCAGCAGUUUUCCCUUUAAAAGUGUAAAGUAAAUAAAUAAAUGUUUGUAUUUUGAAGGAAAGCCUUAGGGGUUUCCAUGGAAUCUAACACAUCCACCAUCGUUUACCGUCAACUCUACUCACGUCUCAUCGUGGCGGCCAUGUUUGUAGUUUUUGUAGUUUUUUCUCAAUCUCUCAGUGUGUCAUUGAAAUAUGUGCCUAACUGCCCUAAGACUGUUAGCUUGAUUGUUGUCGUAGCCAUAAUACUUUUGUUUUGGUAUUGUUGGUUGAUAAAUGUUUUAUUUUUGGUGGAGUUUGGCUUAUGGGUAGGGGAAGGCAAAGGUUUUAGUGCACAGUUAAAAUGAUUCAGGCUUGCUUAUAAUCUCAUCUGAAUUGACCCACCAUUUGAGAACAUCAGAUUGGGAUAACCAAAUUGAGAUAUAUUUCUGUUCUUUUUGAUAUAUUUUUGCAUUUUGUGAUCAUUUCUGAACACUUUUCCUUCGCCUUCCUCCAAACUCCACUGAUGUACGGGACUGUUUUAGGCUGACAACUGCAAUUCACAAACAACUUAUCUAAAUAAUUGUGUUUUUAUGUUUGGGUUUUUGUGUGAAAUGACACCAUCACCACUGACAUGUAAAGGAUUUCUGGAUGCUGUUUAAAGGUGCAGUGUACAGUUGGAUAUAGCUAUAUGUUUAAUGUUUACUUUAAUCAAACUCAUCUAUCAAGGAACUGACCAAUAGAGGCUUAAUAUCAAUUUAUCGGCACAGCAACCAAGUGUCACAUACAAAAGCAGAACAACAAAAGAGCAACAAAAGGUGUCAACAUCUGAGCUAAACACAAAAUAUCAGACUAUUAAAGUACUUUAUGAAGAUGUGAGCCUGGUCACUGGUGAAUCUCCCUGAGUUCAGAUGAUCCUGAUUGAGAGGUGGAUUAGCCAAUCAGGGACAAGCAUGGUCCCUCCAUAGCAAAACAAAUAUGGCUGCUAAUGAGGGAAAAAAAAGGAAAAAAUAUAACACAGUGGACAGAAAAACAUCACAGAUUUCUGCUGAAUAAAUGAGCGAAGCAUUAAACUGUUAAUCCGAGGUGAGAAAUGUGAUUUUAUUUGUAAACGAUAGAUGACCAAUGAGCUUCUUUGUUUCACUGAAAUAAACAAAUCUGAUUGGACGAAUAUGUUUGGUUCUGGCUUGAGAUGCAAAGGAGGGAGUGGUGACCAGACUGAUAUAUAAAAAAUACAGAGAAAUAUACAUUAUACAGUGUUGAAAGCUUCACAUAUUUAAUCAUAGAACUGCCUACUAAGACUAAACAUACAUUAAAGUAAAUAAUGCCCCACUUUUUAUUGUUUUAUUUGUGUUCAGCUCUGUGUCAAGUGAAUCCUUUGUAAUCACUGCCAUUAUAAUUCAGCUGUUACACACUGCACCUUUAAAUACUUUGAUUAGAGUCGCUGUUGAUCGAAGUUUCCUCUAAUAAACACUUUGAUACUGUGAUAUUGUCCAAAUGUAAAAUAUAAAACUAUAUGUAAUUUAGACUUUAGACUCUAGACUGAAUUAGUAAUGUCUCAACCCAGAUUUAAAGGUAUAGCCUGUUUCAAUAGCUGAGUACAUACAAGUGUGAGGCCACUAGAGGGUGCUAUGGGGUCCUGGGGGAGACUCAAGUUUAAACCCAAGCAAACAUGGCAUAUAUACGCUCUAAAAAUAACACUAUGGAGUUGAUUUUUCUAUAUAUAAGGACAAGGACAAACUAAACAAGUGCAAGACUUUAUAACAUGAGCUAAUAAACUAUUACCAAACCAGGCUAAUCCAAAUCUUAAAGGCGCUGUACCAGAUUUUUAUCGUUUGCAAGGGUCCAGAGUUAUUCCCCACUUACUACAUGCAUUCUGAUUAUUCUAACUAUUCACCGCAACAACUAGGAUGCUAACACCACACUUCCUGAUUCUCGAACGCUUUAUAAUUAGACGCAGACAGCCCACAGCGUACAUAUUUUGACGUCAAGAGUUACUCACGCAAUAUAUCUGUACUGAGGAAAGCUGUUCAAAUACAUGGGAAAACAAUCAGGUACAAGCUCUUUAAUAAUAAUAAUUACAUAAUGAACAAGUACUUAAUUAAGAAUGAUUCAGCCAGAUUAACUACGUGUUAUAAUGUUGUUUCCUCAUCACAAACAAACCUGGAGUUUUGUUUUGUUUCAUUCUCACAUGUUUAACACAGAAACCCUGAAUCGCCCGGCUCUCCUCCUCCUCGUCUGGUCUUCCUCCCCCUCGCCUGGCCGAUUUCUUAUGUUGUCUGAUUUUUCCUGUUGUGUCUGAUUUUUCCUGUUGUGUCUGAUUUUUCCUGUUGUGUCUGAUUUUUCCUGUUGUGUCUGAUUCUUCCUGUUGUUUUGUUUUUUGUGUCUUGGCGGCACGGUGACUGAGUGCCUUCACUCAUGUCUCACAGCAAGAAGGUUGGUUCGAUCCCCGGGUCACCAGGCCUUUCUGUGUGGAGUUUUUCAUGUUUCUCCCCGUGUCUGGAUGGGUUUCCUCCGGGUACUCCGGUUUCCCCCAUCAACCAAAACAUGAACGCCCUUCGAGACAACUGUUGUUGUGAUUUUGGGCGUUACAAAAAUAAAUGAAUUGAAUUGAAUUGAAUAUUUAGACACUCUUCAACACUUUAAACACUCUGUUCCACCUUGUGAUGUCAUCAUGUGGUAAUACAGGAAGUGCUCCACUGUGUUUUUAAACUUCACACACCUUCACUCGAAUCAUUUGGAUGAUUUCAGCCCUGCAAUUCCCAAUCUCUACCCAACAAAAGCUAAAAGGUGGCUGUUAAUGUGAAAACUGCUACGUCAUGACAUCACAAGGUGGAACUGAGCAUUUUGAGCUUUGGAGACGUAGACAGACUAAUAAUAGAGUUACUCAAACAUGUGUGAAUGAAAGAAAACUCAACUCCAGGUAUGUUUUUGAGGAGAUAACAGCAUUAUAACAUGACUUAAAGCUCAAAAGAGUCAAUUUCGUAUAAUAAUAUAGGACUUUUAAUAAACUAUUUUACUAAACAACCAAUACUCCUCUGAUACUACCCCACAGAAAGCACAGUUGUAAAUGCGUACAACUUAAAUAUUAAAAUGUAGUAGGACAAUAGCAGACUUGACCGCUGUGUUUAGAAUAUAGAACAACAGUGAAAGUUGAAAUCCAUGUACCAGUGUUUGUAUUAGUGCCCAAAGUCCUUCAUAAUGCUUCAUAUUCAGAUCAUAUUUUGUGCGUUUGUCAUUGGACCAUGUGUGAGACCACCAUGUUGUUUUGCUGUCAGCACGUGUCAUGUACAUAGUAGAAAGAGUUAAGUUAUGGUCUUAGAGAUUGUGUUCUUAUGUGCAGGAGACGGGAAUAAAUCUCAAAUACAGUGAA